AGCUCCAAUAGCGUAUAUUAAAGUUGUUGCAGUUAAAAAGCUCGUAGUUGGAUUUCUGCAAGCCAGUGGAAGGGAACCCCCUGGGCGUCUCAACCGGGGCUUGCAUACUCUGGAUCACCAUGCUGCACUUCACUGUGUGGUGUGGGUCUCCAGACUUUUACCUUGAGGAAAUUAGAGUGUUCAAAGCAUGCAAAGGCAUUGAAUAUGUUAGCAUGGGAUAAUGAGAUAGGAUUUCGGUUCUAUCUUGUCGGUUCAUAGGACUGAGGUAAUGAUUAAUAGGAACAGCUUGGGGCAUUCGUAUUUCAUUGUCAGAGGUGAAAUUCUUGGAUUUAUGAAAGACGAACUACUGCGAAAGCAUUUGCCAGGCAUGUUUUCA
rnacentral:rRNA from 1 species